UACGUAGGGGGCAAGCGUUGUCCGGAUUUACUGGGCGUAAAGAGCGUGUAGGCGGCCAGGCAGGUCUGUUGUGAAAACUGGAGGCUCAACUUCCAGACGUCGACAGAAACCGCUUGGCUAGAGUCCGGAAGAGGAGAGUGGAAUUCCUGGUGUAGCGGUGAAAUGCGCAGAUAUCAGGAGGAACACCGGUGGCGAAGGCGCACAUCUGGCCCGAUACUGACGCUGAAGCUCGAAAGCUAGGGGAGCAAACGGG
rnacentral:rRNA from 1 species